rnacentral:rRNA from 1 species
ACGUACACUCCUGCGGGAGGCAGCAGUGGGGAAUAUUGCACAAUGGGCGCAAGCCUGAUGCAGCCAUGCCGCGUGUAUGAAGAAGGCCUUCGGGUUGUAAAGUACUUUCAGCGGGGAGGAAGGCAAUACGGUUAAUAACCGUGUUGAUUGACGUUACCCGCAGAAGAAGCACCGGCUAACUCCGUGCCAGCAGCCGCGGUAAUACGGAGGGUGCAAGCGUUAAUCGGAAUUACUGGGCGUAAAGCGCACGCAGGCGGUCUGUCAAGUCGGAUGUGAAAUCCCCGGGCUCAACCUGGGAACUGCAUUCGAAACUGGCAGGCUUGAGUCUUGUAGAGGGGGGUAGAAUUCCAGGUGUAGCGGUGAAAUGCGUAGAGAUCUGGAGGAAUACCGGUGGCGAAGGCGGCCCCCUGGACAAAGACUGACGCUCAGGUGCGAAAGCGUGGGGAGCAAACAGGAUUAGAUACCCUUGUAGUCCCA